UACGUAGGGUGCGAGCGUUAAUCGGAAUUACUGGGCGUAAAGCGUGCGCAGGCGGUUGUGCAAGACAGAGGUGAAAUCCCCGGGCUUAACCUGGGAACUGCCUUUGUGACUGCAAGGCUAGAGUGUGUCAGAGGGGGGUAGAAUUCCACGUGUAGCAGUGAAAUGCGUAGAUAUGUGGAGGAAUACCGAUGGCGAAGGCAGCCCCCUGGGAUAACACUGACGCUCAUGCACGAAAGCGUGGGGAGCAAACAGG
rnacentral:rRNA from 1 species